GAGGUAGAUAGGUUCGAGGUGGAAGCGUGGCGACACGUGCAGCUGACGAAUACUAAUCGAUCGAGGACUUAACCAAA
rnacentral:rRNA from 2 species